rnacentral:ncRNA from 2 species
GUAAAAUGGAUAGCGCUAGUACCUAAGGCUCUUAGGUAGACGAGGUAGAGAAGUAUCGAAUAUAUCAGCGGAUGUCUCUCGGCAGCUUCAGUCGUCACAAGGUGGAAAAACAUCACGGUAACGGGAUGGACAACGUCACUAUGGGAAGCAAAA